AUUGAACGCUGGCGGCAGGCCUAACACAUGCAAGUCGAACGAGUGGCGGACGGGUGAGUAAUGUCUGGGAAACUGCCUGAUGGAGGGGGAUAACUACUGGAAACGGUAGCUAAUACCGCAUACCAUCGGAUGUGCCCAGAUGGGAUUAGCUAGUAGGUGGGGUAACGGCUCACCUAGGCGACGAUCCCUAGCUGGUCUGAGAGGGUGACCAGCCAAACUGGAACUUGGAGACGGUCCAGACUCCUACGGGUGGGAGCAGUGGGGAAGAUUGCGCAAUGGGGGCAAGCCUGAUGCAGCUAUGCCGCGUGUAUGAAGAAGGCCUUCGGGUUGUAAAGUACUUUUAGCGGGGAGGCGUUACCCGCAGAAGAAGCACCCGCUAACUCCGUGCCAGCAGCCGCCGUAAUUC
rnacentral:rRNA from 1 species